AAUACAUCGACAAUCAAACGGAAAAGAGUCUAGGGUUUGAAAGGAUGUAUCCGGCAAGUUCCAUGGAGAGUUCAUACGAUUUCAAUGUUAUUUUGGAUCGAGAAGGUGUAGUCAAUGGAUUAAUCGACACAAUCAAGGUUAAUGAAACGUCUUAUGCUACACAUCUAUCCUCUGUUCUUCCGCCUGUGGGUCCUUUGGUACUUCUCCUCCGCUUUGUCCGCAAGUCAGAACCACAGACACAAAGUUCGAUACCAAUGGGGCUGAAACGCAGCCUAAUGGUUUGAUUGCAUAUGUAAGAAAUGGAGACAUAGAAGAAUAAAAAGUAGACAUUCAAUACAUCAACUGAAGAAACGUCUUAUGCUACUAUGGUGAUCUUUCUGGAAAGAGGCUUUGGUUUUAACUGUGAUCGAUAGAGAGAUGAGAGCAGAUCAAUAACGAUCAAAGGAGAAGAAGCCGACAUGUAACUGUAAUGGAGCAGAGGAUGAAAUUUUUCAAAUGUUUGAUAUGAAACUGUAAAGGAGUUCUGGAACUGUUUUUAGUAAUCAAAAGGAAGAGCGUGUUAGGAAGUUCGACUAUUGCCUUUCCUUUUAAUACAGCUCUAGGUUUUCGAUUCUGCACUUUGAAGCUGCCAACAGAUCAUUUCAAACCCCACAAGGUUAGUAAAUUGCUGCUGAAGUUGAGCUAACACAUUAGCUAAUAGAAUGAUCAUGAGAUUAAUGUAGAACAACUAAUAUUGUUCUUGCUUCGGUCAAUUGUUAUAGUUACUUUUUUCUCCACAAAAGGUUGAUAUGACGAUUCAUAAUGGUAGUCUAUUUGGAUGAUUGUGUUGUGCCAACUAAAACAUCAAAAUAAAAACCUUUGAAGUAAUAAAACAAAUGAAACUGUUUGCUUA